UACGUAGGGCGCGAGCGUUGUCCGGAAUUAUUGGGCGUAAAGAGCUCGUAGGCGGCCUGUCGCGUCAAUUGUGAAAGCCCGGGGCUUAACCUCGGGUCUGCAGUCGAUACGGGCAGGCUAGAGUGUGGUAGGGGAGAUCGGAAUUCCUGGUGUAGCGGUGAAAUGCGCAGAUAUCAGGAGGAACACCGGUGGCGAAGGCGGGUCUCUGGGCAACAACUGACGCUGAGGAGCGAAAGCGUGGGGAGCGAACAGG
rnacentral:rRNA from 1 species